GCAGAUAGGAAAAUAUUUUAUUUGGGGUUUUGAGAAUUGCGGUUUGGGAGACACAGAUUCCAGUAAUCUCAAAGAAAUGUUUCAAGGAAGGGAAAGAGUCAGGCUUAAAAAGACAAAAAGGUUGUUAAAAAUUGCCUGGUGAGAAUUGUGAUUAAUUCUGGCGCUAGUCAGAAAAUAUUUGUCCUUAAGGAAUCAUGAAUUAUUUUAGGUUAAGGGUCUGAUAAGUAUCUUGAAUUCUCCCAGGUGUUCUGGAUGACUUCACCAGAUCAAAAGGUCAGAUUCCAUUCAGGCUGAGAAGGUACAUAAGCCACAGGUCCUUAAUGGCCUCCUGGCUUCAUUUAAAGAGAGUUCUCGUAGCAGUAUGACUCCAUUUUGAUUUUUCCUUUCACAGUACUCAGUCCUGAUCUUCUUCUAAAAAGUCCCCCAAGUUCAGCUCUAUUCCAUUAUCUUUCUUUUCUAUUGCACAGAAAGUUGUAUUUAAAAAAUUUUUUUUUAGUAAUUUAGUUAUUCAUAGUUCUGUCAUCAUUUCUCAUGUGUGAUUUCUAUCUUCCUGGCUACAUUUAAAGUAUACUGGGGAUUAGAAACUGUAUCUUUAUACACUGCUCAGAUCUCUUAUAAAACUGAGAUGAAUGUCAAGUCUAAGAAAAAUUUACAUGGGCCAGCUCACAGGUCCUUGACCAAUGAUGUCAGUACCAUUCCUGGAUAUAGGAGCUGUUUUAGUCAUGACUCUUUGAUUGAAAGCAUCAGAAACCAUUUAUAACUUAAUUAAGUAAAAGUGAGGAUGUUGCUGGAUCUAUUGCAAGGUUAUGGGAGUUGCCCAGGAAAUUGGAGGAGCAAUAGAAAACCUAGACUUAUUAACAGUUGAACAUAUGGCAGCCCUGAAGUUCCACAUAAUUGUUAUUAGUAAGAAAUUUAUUUGGUCUUUGUGCUGUUUGGUUUGAGAUUUAAAUUCUAGAACGAGCUCAGGUCUUAUAUUCAAUUUUUGAACAAGGAAGCAUGGGUGUCUGGAUUGGUAUUACCUUCAUGGCCAGGACUAAUGAGUGGAAAAUGACUUCAAAAAGCCCUAACUCUAAAGCCCUCCUCUUUCUGUCUGCUACUUCAGACUCCAUGCAUCUCAAGGUGCAUUGGAGCAUUACAGGCUCAUUGAAUGACCUUUGCUCCACUCUGCUGUUGCUUCUUUUACAUUUUGUACCCAGGCAAACAUGCAUGUAAUGCUACUACUCCAUCUUGCAUUUGUUUGUAGCUUAUCCUAUGGCUUUUCUCCAUGUAGAGGUUUUUGGGUAAGCUUUUGCAUCCAAGUGGCAUCAACUGGGUUUCUGUGCAAGUUAAGGGAAUGAAUCACAAUGCAAAGUUUCUAGCUCUGAUUGAAGAAGGAGAAUUUAUGCAUGAUUUGAAAACUUCAAGUUAUAAUGAUUUUAUAUUCCCUUUAGUCAUAUGUUCAAAGUAGUGUGCUGUCCUAUUAUUCUUCCCAGCUAAAUUUUUAAAUUGAAAUUUUUUGAAAUAAGUUAAAAUGGUUAAAAAGUGUAUGUUUUCUCUACAUAUUCUAUAUUACCCCUACUCGGGUAAGAACAACAUCCUCAUUUCUAAGAAUUAUACUUUUCUACAAAAUGCUAAAAAAAAUAGAGUGUAUAUAGUCAAAGGUAGUAUCUUGGUGAACAUUAAAGAGAAGGAGUGGUAGACUUAAAUUAUUAUGUCCUACAUAGUAACUUAUUUUUGGUGUGUACCAUUAAGGUGUUGUUUUAGAUAUAAAAAUAGCUUUUAAUAAUUUGUCAUCCUAUUCAUUAAUGUUCAUUCCAUUAAUAUUUUCUUUAUUAUAAUAUUUAAUAUAAUAUUUACUGUAAAAUUGACAAUUUACCAUUAAUAAUUGAAUUAAAAUAAUUUCUGUAUAUUUAACCAUGAUUGAAUUAUAUUAUAGCACGUUGCCCUCUUUUUGGGUAAGACUUGUCUUAUUUCUAAAAGAAAACAUACAGAUAAAAGCUAAUACUAACUUUUGUUUGUGGUACAAUUAUGACGUUCUGAAGUACUUUUACAUCUAUGACUUAAUUUUUUGUCAUAGCUAUCAUAUGAGAACAACAGGUAACUUAAAAUGGGGUCUUUGAGUCACAUGGUAUCAGUUAACAUGGAGAUGAAAUCCACCAUGUGAACAAUCAGUCAAUCAUGCUACAUAGUGGAGCCCCAGUAAAAUCUCUGAACACUGAGGCUCAGGUGAACUUCUCUUGUUGGCAACUCUCUGUGUUGUCACAAAUUGUUGCCAGGAAUGUAACAUGGAAAGAGGACAAUGGGAACCCCAUGUAUGGUCCUUCCCUGGACUCCAUCCUAUCUGCUUCCUCUCUUGACCGAUAUUCAUCUGUAUCCUUCCCUGUAAUAAAUUGUAACCAUGAGUAUAACAGCUUUCAGGGAAUUCUGCAAGUUCUUCUAGAGAAUUAUCAAGCCUGAGGGUGGUUUCAGAAUACCUCUAACUUAUAGUUAGUGUCAGAAGUGAGGGCAGAUUUGGAGACUGUGCCCUCUAAUUUGCAGUUGCCUAAACUCCCAAGAAGUUGUCCUAAACUCUCACAAUAAAUUACUGAUUCAUUAGAUUUUGAAUCAAAAUAGUAUUGAAAUCCUAAAGUUAUUAAUUUUACUAUGCUAUCAUGUCAGUUAUUUUGUAAAAGGAACUAAUUAUGGACUCAAUCUGGCAUAUUUAUGCCAGAUUUCACCCCUAAAUUAAUUAUUUUCCAAGUUUUUUAAGACAAAUAUAUUCAUUUAAAGAAACUAGUAAAUUGAAGCUGUAAUACUUAAAAAGAACCUUUUAAAAACUGUAUUUUAUCAGGAAAAUGUAAAAAAAAAAAACUAAGGAGAAAGAGGUAAGGAAAAGAAAGAAAUAAAAAAAAAAGAAAUUCACACAUAUGGUAAAAGUUCAAACAGUAAAAAAAUAUGUAAUCUUUGGGAAAAUGAAUCUCCUAUCUUUCUCUUCUGAUAGAAUAUUUUAAGUGUUUUUAAAUAAGAAUUGAUUUCUCCCACUGUUUUUAGUUCUUACAUAAUGUAUUAAUGUUAAAGGAUCCCUUUUAGAUUGACUGAGGUCCUCAAGGUCCUAUUAUUUGUGUGUGAAAUUCAAGCCAAAUAUUCAUCACAAUGUCUUGGUGUUCUUUCUUUUUGCUUAUCAGUAAUUAGCAGGCCCCACUUAAUUUUGUUUCUAAUCUCUAUUUAUGUUGCUUCUUUAUUAUCCUUCUUUAAUGCCUGCUAGCUAUCAUUUCUUUAGCCUUUUAGAUUUGGUGCCACUUUUAGAAACAUUUUUUCCUCCUUUACCAUAUCAAUCCAACUUCUGGUUGGCUGUUGAGUGCCUAGUAUAUGUGAAACACCACUUAAUGUUUUGAGUCACAUUUUGGAAAAAUCCAAGUCUUAGAUAAUGAGCCUCUUCACUGUGCUUUCCAUUCUGAUGUUAUAUUUGAUGUGUGUAUGUCUCUCUCUCUCUCUCUCUCUCUCUCUCUGUGUGUGUGUGUGUGUGUGUGUAUUGACAGCCACCAGAAAUGGAGUGUAUGAUCAUCUCAACAAAUACUGUCACAUUCCAGCUAGAGAAACUGAGUGAAUUGAAUGACAGCUAGUUUAAGGCAAAGCAGGAAUCAGAGUAUAGGUCUCUUUGCCUCAGUGUACAGCAUUAUAAUUGCAUUUCCUUUUUCCUACAUGUAUGGCCUCAGAAAAAUCCCAGGGUCAACAUUUUCAAACUAAAGACAUGCAGGAUAUCUUCACACAAAUUAUAACUCCUUCUGAAAUUUAUAAUACAAACUUAUGUGUUCAAGAAACAAAGGCAUCCAUGGCUCUAAAUAUUUAGAUUAACGAGCAGCUUUCUUAGGAAUUAUGGAAACGUUUUUUCAAUGUGGUUGCUAAUUCAUCUCCAACCUGCUCUAAGCAAGUUAGUUGACGGAAUUGAAGGCAUCCCCUAAAACAGAUGGGAGAGAUUCAUACCUGAACUUGUUUAAAUCUGGAUAACUAGGACUACAGUUUGCAUUCACAAUGACAGUGAAAAAUAUGUGGUUUCUGCAAAAGAUAUAGUAGACAAACAAGCUUUCUUUAACACAGUGUGUUACUUUAGGCGUGUUCUCUUUUUAUUUGUAUUUAAUACAUCUAAAUCUAAGAAGGUAUAUGUCCAGUAUUGUUUUCAAUGCCAAUUCUUCCCAGAUUUCAGAUCUCAAAAAUUUCCGGAGAAGACAUCCUCAUGACAGAAGACAAUGGCUUCUGGUUAUAGGCUAGAGCAGCCUUUGACCAGCAAAAAUUCUUUGAAGUAAUAGCCUUUUACUUGUUUUAAUUUAAAAGUUCAAAAUAAAAAUCAUAAAAUAAAAAAG
rnacentral:lncRNA from 1 species